rnacentral:rRNA from 1 species
GCGUAAGCGCACGCAGGCGGUCAAGUUAAGUCAGAUGUGAAAGCCCCGAGCUUAACUUGGGAAUUGCAUCUGAAACUGGUUGGCUAGAGUCUUGUAGAGGGGGGUAGAAUUCCAUGUGUAGCGGUGAAAUGCGUAGAGAUGUGGAGGAAUACCGGUGGCGAAGGCGGCCCCCUGGACAAAGACUGACGCUCAGGUGCGAAAGCGUGGGGAGCAAACAGGAUUAGAUACCC